rnacentral:lncRNA from 1 species
AAAUAUUAAUAAUAUUCUAUAGUUUGUUUUUUAUUAGUUAAAUUAUGGUUAAAUAUAUAAGUAAUGAUGUUUUUAUUUUAGAAAUAUGUAAAAUUAAAUAUUUUUUAAAUUUGUGUGUAUAAACCUAAAAUGACAACUAAAAUAAAACGAAAAAAGUAAAUGUUUUUGCUGACCCUAAACCACAUUCUCAUGUUUAUUUCCUUCCUCAACAAAGCAAACACUAAAAGUGGAAUUUCUAAAAGCAGAAAUAGUUCUCCCCAAUUGUUUUUUUUUUUUCUUCUAAUAAUUAUAAUAUUGAAAUGAUAGUGGUUUUUAAAUUAGUGUUCUCUUUUCAGUUGCUCCUCGAGUAUUUGAAGUAUUUCUUUUAUUCUUCUUUAGCUAGC